CGCUCCGCACACAGCCGCCGCCUCAGCCGCAUCGGAAAGCGCAAGGAGCCUUCGGCCGGGGUCACGCAGCCGGGUGGCUGAGGGGAGGCGAGGCCGCGGGAACCGGCGCUCACCUGCGCGGGGCCUGGGGCACCUGCCAGGCCUCGGCGGGCAGCGAGGUGCCCGGGGGCAGCGCUGGAACGUCACGGCGCGGCACGGCCCGCGGGCUCGGAGAGUGCAGGGGGACCGCACCGCGCUCCUGAAACCUAUUUUGACUUUGUCUCCAGAAAGCUAUUCAGCGGAGAGGCUGGCUGAUUAAUUGAUUUUAAUGAAGGUCUCCCUAGGCUCAAAUUCACAGACAGCUUUAUUUAAAAUUAAAAGGAAAAAAAAAAAAAGUGAGUGUGCUUGUCAGGAAAGCUUUUUUUUUUUUUCUUUUUUUGCCCCACUCCAGUUCUGUUAUCAUCUUUAUCUAUAUUUAUACAGCCCUACAAUGUUAUUAAUUACUUGGAGCAAAAGUGUGACUAAAAAAAAAGCCUCAAAGUCUGCAUAGAGCUCUGUUGAUUGUAUAGACAUAAAUAAUUGCACUGAUCCUGCUGACAGUUAACAACCUCAGACUGUUCUCAGCACUAUAAAAUUAGGCGUAUGUAUAAGAAGAAAUAGAACCCACAUUUGUUUUGUUAACUGUAUUGCAGGUGGGGAUGUUCCUGAUGCUGCAGUGGCUGAAGAGUAGCUGAGCCUGAAAAUGCAGUAGUAUGGUCAGUGGACAGAAAAUGAGCAUUUGCCCACUCCCAAACAACACAAAAGUGUGAAUAAUCAUCCUGGUUUAACUUAACAGUGUCCUAUGUAUCACAGAGCCUGUCAGUGGUGGUGACAAAAUAAGCUUUGUCCUUUAAGUUGGGUUAGUCAUUUUCUUUUACGUUCAUUUUUUUUCACAUACUUUUACAUACAUUUUAUGAUAUUUCCUCUCUUCUAAAUGUAUUUUUCUUAAUGUUUUCUCUUAGUACAAAUGCAACCACUAUUGAAAAACCACCACAUUGAAAAAACCACUUUUACUUCAAUCAUAGAGUUUGCAAGCAAAGUUUGCAGAUAGACUUUGAACCACAGAACUGCUAACAAUACGGAACCACUUUUAGGGGGUGAGGGUGGAAAUAGGUGGCAGAUACACAGUGGUCCUCAGAACGUUGUCAGGGUUGAGGGCUGCAGCAAAAAUGCUAGCUGACAGCUUGAACCCAGUGAUUGAGCACCUGGUAGGAAGGCAGGGCCAAUCCAGGAGAGCUCAGGUGCAAGCAAUGCAUUUGAGUGACUGGAAAGGCUAGAGCCAGGAUCCACCCCUUCCCAGACCUCAUUUAAGGGUUGGCAGGGAAGGGAAGGGUAUCUCUCUGGAGAUCCCUUUGUACCUGAGGCUUUUUGAAGUUUCCGGGGUGUCUCACUGUGACAUGCUUCUAAAUCCCACAUCCUACAAAGAGUCAGCACACGUAUAAAUCAGUGUGGUCAAAGAAUAGACAUAACAAUAGAGUGCUGGAUACCUCUGUCAUCAGCUCUGCUAUCACAAUUAUGACUCAAAUCAAUGGGUUUUACUCUCCAGUGAGAAGACUGAGCACUCACAUUGAAGAAGCAGCCUUCUGCUAUGAAGCCAGUAAUUCACAGGAAACAAUCCUGCCAUAGCGUUUGAAGGGCACCCAUGUCCCAUCAGCAGCAGAAUUAAUACUGCUUCUCUGCAUAGUUGCUCUGAUAAGGCACCUAAUAAAGUAACUCAUCAAAAAUGCUCUGUACUUUCACCAUGGAGCUCAGCCAGAGUUUCUAUCCUAUAUAGCUAUUAAAUAUACCUUUUUUUUUUUUUAUGUAUGUAUGAGGUAUUUACAGUUUUGUCGUGACUAAAUGUUUGCAGUCUUAACACAACCCACACUCUUCUAUGUGGCUGUUCAGAUAUAAAAUUUCAAAGGUUUGCAAGAUCUCCUUGUGCUUUAUUGGAUAUAAGCAACGUUCACUUUAGUUAACAUCAGUGAAGGUGUGCUGCAGAUACAUUUCCUCUGCUUCUGGCUUUCGCAAUGUUCUUAGUUUCAAGAUGUUAAGAUUUCCAAAAUAAGUUCUUGUUUUUGUGUGUUUUUUUUUUUUCUUUUUAAUACAAGGGGAGAAGCCUCUUCCUGUUUUUUUUUUGCUAGAGAGGAAUUGUUUCAGCUGGAAUGUUCAUCAUCUUGGUGAGAAAGUAAUGAGGAAGACGUUGCUGUGAUUGACUGAAAAUGCAAAAUAGACAAGACUGUAUGAAGAAAUAAACCAGUGCUUCACGUAAUGGUAUCAUACAAUUACCUCGUUCCUUAUACCACAGUUACCACAAACUUCUUGCUUUUAAGAUAUGUUUUCUUCCUUUUGUAGCACCAUUUAGAAAAGGCAAAAAAGAAAACAAUUCUUGGGCCUGUUAAAGCAUCUGAAGAUCUUUUAUUAUACAGCAGAGAGAGCAUUAAUCAAGACAGAGGGCUUAGUGCUCCUGAUUCUAGAGAGAGUAGGUGCC